GUGCUUGCUUCGGCAGCACAUAUACUAAAAUUGGAAUGAUACGGAGAAGAUUAGCAUGGCCCCUGUGCAAGGAUGACAUGCAAAUUCAUGAAGUGUUCCAUAUUUUU
rnacentral:snRNA from 1 species